GAGCACCGCGUUUCAAGGUGAGUUGGAGCGUGAAGUGGCGUCGGAACCGCAGUAUCAUGCGCAAAAGAGAAGUCGUGUAAGCAGCCUGUCGGAUACCCGGGUACGAGGCUUCGCCUGCUGGGAAAGUUAAAGGUGCGGUGGAGUGGAGUGGACGUCACGCGUUCAUGUGUGGGGAGGAAAUCCUCAACCUGUAUGCGUCAUUCGCAUUUCAUCCCAUCGAUUGCACUGCGCGCGAAAACUAUGACAUGUACCAUUUUGGAAGAUCAUGAUGAUAAACAGCACAGUGACAGACAUGAAGAAAGCAGAUCUCACGUAACGUUUGUGAGAAAUAAUACAGUAAGAACUAUCCCAAUGAUUAUUAUUUGAUGUAUUUGUUGAGGAGUUGCAAUGAUGAGUCACACACAAUGUCGUUACAAAGUUCAAGCACGCACACACAAAGUGGAUACACAAACACAGCGCACAAGGUUAACUUUCCACUGUUUUGCACUGCAAAUGUGACAGGAUACACGACUUCGACUUCUUUUGUAAUUGUACUCACAUGCGGCUGUGGUGAUAAAGUAAA